UGCUCUGCACAUGCUCUUCAAUUGUUUAGGGCUGUCUUCUUAAUUUUCUUCAGCUGUCCCCAUUGUAGCAGAAGCCUCCUUGCUCUGGAGGGGCAACUGAAUGUUGGAAGUGCAACACCACUGAAAGGGGGGAUGGAGAACCUCAUUUUCCUUGGAAAAUUCAACUAACACAUCUGGAAAGGGAAGCUGCUUAUUGCAUGUGUUUCAUUAUGGAAAGAAAAUGCCUUUUAAAAUCUAAAAUCAAGAAACUGGUGGAAAGAUCUCUGUGUGGCUGCUCAGUACCUCAGCCAUGGCUUUCACUUGUCAUAAAAGUAAUGAAUAAUAUUAAUAAAAAUAUAUUGCAAGUGUCUCUCCACAUAAGAAUUAUUUAAAGAUUUUUUUAUACUCCCUGGAGAACAGAUUUACAGACAAAUUUAAGCCACUGAAUCAAAGGCAAAUUAUUAAAAUGUCAUAAAGCUAAGGACAGAGAAAUUACAGGAUAUAAAAUUGAUUAUCAUCUUGCUACCACUGAAAAACCUCUUCUUAAUCAUAAAGCAAGUGGCCUCUGAUGGCAAAAUAUCUAUAUUCCACUCCAGCAGGAUGUCCCCAGGAGAAAGCUGGAUUAAACAGAAGGCAGUGAAAUACAGACCUCAUUCAGUGGCUGCCUGAGAGCAAAAUAUGCAUCUUUUGUACAUCCCUAAAAGGUUUCUAAUUACCCAUGGUUAUAGACUUCCUUGUAGUAGGGCUUUGAAUGGAAAAUAUCUUGUUGGUCACUUGAAAGAAAGGACAAUAACAUCAUGAUCAAAAUCCUACUGAUGCUGGUUUUGCCAAGAAGAGGGAGAACUGUUCUAGAGCUGGUGUCUUGUCUUAUAAAAAGAGAUCCACAGUUAAGCACCUCUGCAUCUCUGUAGGUCAGAGUACAUGGGAACAUGGUAUAAACACCUGGAGAUGUGAUUUUGGAGCUUGUGAGCCCCACAUGGGUGGACCCUGCUGUAGAUGUGGCAUCUUGGACCUCCAGAGCUGGGCAGCUGCAGGUGGCUGGGGCUGACAGUGCCAAAUCACCCUCCUGAGAGCCCUUGGCUGUGGACUCUGCAGUAAAGCAACAAAAGGCUAAAAGGAACAGCAUUAAAUGUUUUCCUUUUCAACAUUUCUCUUAUUUUAACUACACCUUGCAAGCCCUAGCUGAACAAAUACUCCUUUUGGAAACAUCUCUCACUAAAAUUCAAUAGUAGAAACCAUGUACUUAGCAGUAACAAAGACUGUAAAGAAGAUUUAAAAUUAUCAUUUGGUUAGGACUAUGUGGGUUAAAGUGUGGUUAAAAAGCCCCCAGAAAGGCUCUGCCCCACCCUUACACCUCCUGCAGCAAGACAAGGACCUGCUGCAGCCCCAGAAAGGCUCUGCCGGGGGGGGGGGGGGGGGGGGGGGGGGGGGGGGGGGGGGGGGGGGGGGGGGGGGGGGGG
rnacentral:lncRNA from 1 species